rnacentral:rRNA from 1 species
UACGGGGGGGGGAAGCGUUGUUCGGAAUUACUGGGCGUAAAGGGCUCGUAGGCGGCCAACUAAGUCAGACGUGAAAUCCCUCAGCUUAACUGGGGAACUGCGUCUGAUACUGGAUGGCUUGGAUUCGGGAGAGGAAUGCGGAAUUCCAGGUGUAGCGGUGAAAUGCGUAGAUAUCUGGAGGAACACCGGUGGCGAAGGCGGCAUUCUGGACCGAUAUUGACGCUGAGGAGCGAAAGCUAGGGGAGCAAACGGG